GGCUCCCUAGUGUAGUGGUUAGCACGUCUGCUUUACACGCAGAAGGUUGUGGGUUCGCGCCCCAGGUAGAGCCA
rfam:Pteropus alecto contig162665, whole genome shotgun sequence.